AGAUUAAGUUAUUAAGGGCGCACGGUGGAUGCCUUGGCACUAGAAGCCGAUGAAGGACGUUACUAACGACGAUAUGCUUUGGGUAGCUGUAAGAAAGCGUUGAUCCAGAGAUUUCCGAAUGGGGGAACCCAACAUGAGUGAUGUCAUGUUAUCGACAUGUGAAUUCAUAGCAUGUCAGAAGGCAGACCCGGAGAACUGAAACAUCUUAGUACCCGGAGGAAGAGAAAGAAAAAUCGAUUCCCUGAGUAGCGGCGAGCGAAACGGGAAGAGCCCAAACCAACAAGCUUGCUUGUUGGGGUUGUAGGACACUCUAUACGGAGUUACAAAAGAACAUGUUAGACGAAUCAUCUGGAAAGAUGAAUCAAAGAAGGUAAUAAUCCUGUAGUCGAAAACAUAUUCUCUCUUGAGUGGAUCCUGAGUACGACGGAGCACGUGAAAUUCCGUCGGAAUCUGGGAGGACCAUCUCCUAAGGCUAAAUACUCUCUAGUGACCGAUAGUGAACCAGUACCGUGAGGGAAAGGUGAAAAGUACCCCGGAAGGGGAGUGAAAGAGAACUUGAAACCGUGUGCUUACAAGUAGUCAGAGCCCGUUAAUGGGUGAUGGCGUGCCUUUUGUAGAAUGAACCGGCGAGUUACGAUCUGAUGCAAGGUUAAGCAGUGAAUGUGGAGCCGUAGCGAAAGCGAGUCUGAAUAGGGCGUUGAGUAUUUGGUCGUAGACCCGAAACCAGGUGAUCUACCCUUGGUCAGGUUGAAGUUCAGGUAACACUGAAUGGAGGACCGAACCGACUUACGUUGAAAAGUGAGCGGAUGAACUGAGGGUAGCGGAGAAAUUCCAAUCGAACUUGGAGAUAGCUGGUUCUCUCCGAAAUAGCUUUAGGGCUAGCCUCAAGUGAUGAUUAUUGGAGGUAGAGCACUGUUUGGACGAGGGGCCCUUCUCGGGUUACCGAAUUCAGACAAACUCCGAAUGCCAAUUAAUUUAACUUGGGAGUCAGAACAUGGGUGAUAAGGUCCGUGUUCGAAAGGGAAACAGCCCAGACCACCAGCUAAGGUCCCUAAAUAUAUGUUAAGUGGAAAAGGAUGUGGCGUUGCCCAGACAACUAGGAUGUUGGCUUAGAAGCAGCCAUCAUUUAAAGAGUGCGUAAUAGCUCACUAGUCGAGUGACACUGCGCCGAAAAUGUACCGGGGCUAAACAUAUUACCGAAGCUGUGGAUUGUCCUUCGGACAAUGGUAGGAGAGCGUUCUAAGGGCGUUGAAGCAUGAUCGCAAGGACAUGUGGAGCGCUUAGAAGUGAGAAUGCCGGUGUGAGUAGCGAAAGACGGGUGAGAAUCCCGUCCACCGAUUGACUAAGGUUUCCAGAGGAAGGCUCGUCCGCUCUGGGUUAGUCGGGUCCUAAGCUGAGGCCGACAGGCGUAGGCGAUGGAUAACAGGUUGAUAUUCCUGUACCACCUAGUAUCGUUUUAAUCGAUGGGGGG
rnacentral:rRNA from 1 species